AGAGUUCGAUUAUGGCUCAGGACGAACGCUGGCGGUGCGCCUUAUGCAUGCAAGUUGAGCGAAGCUUUUUGGUAGUUUACUACUAGAAAUGACUGAGCGGCGAACGGGUGAGUAACGCGUGAGCAAUCUACCUUAGUUACUGGGAUAGCCCGAGGAAACUCGGAUUAAUACCGGAUAUUCUUAUUUUUUCACAUGAAGUUUUAAGGAAAGGUCAGCCGAACUAAGAUGAGCUCGCGUUCUAUCAGCUAGUUGGUGGGGUAAAAGCCUACCAAGGCUACGACGGAUAGCUGGUCUGAGAGGACGAUCAGCCACACUGGGACUGAGACACGGCCCAGACUCCUACGGGAGGCUGCAGCAGGGAAUAUUGUGCAAUGAGCGAAAGCUUGACACAGCGACACCGCGUGUGGGAUGACGGUUCUAGGAUUGUAAACCACUUUCAGGAGGGAAGAAAAUGACGGUACCUUCACAAGAAGACCCGGCCAACUAUGUGCCAGCAGCCGCG
rnacentral:rRNA from 1 species